rnacentral:rRNA from 1 species
AUGACUGCUAUAUUCUCCGACUUUUGUGAAAAGAUUGAUGAGGUUUUCAUGGAUGAUUUCUCUGUUUACGAAACUUCUUUUGAUGAUUGCUUAAGCAACCUUGACCGAGUUUUGCAGAGAUGUGAAGAAACUAAUCUUGUAUUGAAUUGGGAGAAGUGCCACUUUAUGGUUAAUGAAGGUAUUGUCUUGGGGCAUAAAGUUUCCGAAGGAGGUAUUGAAGUUGAUAAAGCUAAAGUAGAUGCUAUUGAAAAGAUGAAGUGUCCUAAAGAUAUUAAAGGUAUAAGAAGUUUCCUUGGUCAUGCUAGUUUCUAUAGGAGGUUUAUUAAAGACUUCUAA